AAGGUAGCAUGCUUGAAGCUUGCCGUCCAUUGUGGUGGCAAUGGACUUGUGAAGAUAUGCUGAAGAGUGGCUCACCCAUAGUGAGUAUGGGGGAGCAAUCAACUAGUCUUCAUCAAGCCAACACAAUCGAGAAAGGUGGUCCAUCUUGAGGAAGCCAAGAUCAUCAUCAUCUAGCUCAAGAGGACGAGGUGCAAGGUAUAGGUUUGUCCUUGAUAGGUUUUCUGGUUAGGAUAGAUUGCUGUUCUAUCAAGGGGGGCUCUCAAGUGAG
rnacentral:lncRNA from 1 species